CUGCAGGUUUGAUAAGCAUGAUCAGCAUCACAUGCCUGAGAUGUCACACGUCACCACGUAAUUACAGAAUACUUGCACUAUAUAUCAAUGUGAUUCUUGCCUCCCAGAUCACUGCUGGAAUGCUGAAGGAGAAGACAAACAUCUGGAAAUUUAAACUUGUGAGUAGUAGUGAGUUUAAAGGUGGAUUAUAUGUUUCUUACCUGUUCUAUGUUAAAUUGUGUGUUAAUAUUAAUUUUGUAAUAUUGCAUCCUAUUGUAACAAUGCAAUGUUUUGUGAACCCAGGACAUACUUGAAAACGAGAGAAAUCUCAAAGUAUCCUUCCUUGUAAAAUAUUUUAUAAAUAAAUAUAUACAAGGGGCCUUUAUUUAAAUUAGGAUUGUAGAAUGAAUAACUUGCAUGCACGAGUUUCUAAUUACAUUGCAUAAAAUAAUUAUAUAUAUAUUUAGUGAGACUUUUUUUUUAACUCCUUGUUUCUGGUGCUUUUUUUGUGUGAGAAUGCACAAAACAUUGCUCUACUACUAGUUUUAUAUUGGCCAUCGAUCUACCUACCUACCUUGUGCUUCAUAACCCUCCUUAUAAUUCAUCCCAUUACUCCAUAUAAUUCUCCCUAUUAUUCAUCCUAUUACUAAAUAUAACCCAUCAUAUACCUCUUCUUAUUGAUUCAUAUAAACCUCCCUAUAACUCCUCUUAUUGAUUCAUAUAAACCUCCCUAUAACUCCUCCUAUUACUUCAUAUAUCCUGCCCUAUAACUCCUUCUAUUACUCCAUAUAACCCUCUCUAUAACUCCUAUUGCUCCAUAUAACUCUCCCUAUAACUCCUCAUAUUGCCCCAUAUAACCCUCCCUAUAACUCCUCCUAUUGCUCCAUAUAACGCUCCCUAUAACUCCUCAUAUUGCCCCAUAUAACCCUCCCUAUAACUCCUCCUACUGCUCCAUAUAACGCUCCCUAUAACUCCUCAUAUUGCUCCAUAUAACCCUCCCUAUAACUCCUCCUAUUGCUCCAUAUAACCCUCCCUAUAACUCCUCCUAUUGCUCCAUAUAACCCUCCCUAUAACUCCUUCUAUUGCUUCAUAUAACCCUCCCUAUAACUCCUCCUAUUGCUCCAUAUAACCCUCCCUAUAACUCCUCCUAUUGCUCCAUAUAACCCUUCUUAGAACUCCUCCUAUUACUCCAUAUAAACCUCACUAUAACUCCUCCUACUGCUCCAUAUAACCCUCCCUAUAACUCCUCCUAUUGCUUCAUAUAAUCCUCCCUAUAACUCCUCCUAUUACUCCAUAUAAACCUCUCUAUAACUCCUCCUAUUACUCCAUAUAACUCCUCCUAUUGCUCCAUAUAACCCUUCCUAUAACUCCUCCUAUUACUCCAUAUAACCCUCCCUAUAACUCCUCCUAUUGCUCCAUAUAACUCUCCCUACAACGCCUCCUAUUGCUCCAUAUAAUCUCUCUCUAUAACUCCUUCUAUUGCUCCAUAUAACGCUCCCUAUAACUCCUCCUAUUGCUCCAUAUAACCCUCCCUAUAACUCCUCCUAUUGCUCCAUAUAACCCUCCCUAUAACUCCUCCUAUUGCUCCAUAUAACGCUCCCUAUAACGCCUCCCAUUGCUCCAUAUAACCUCUCCCUGUAACUCCUCCUAUUACUCCAUAUAACGCUCCCUAUAACUCCUUCUAUUGCUCCAUAUAUCCCUCCCUAUAACUCCUCCUAUUGCUCCAUAUAACUCUCCCUAUAACUCCUCCUAUUGCUCCAUAUAACUCCUUCUAUUGCUCCAUUUAUAACAGUUCUACCUAUUUAACUCCUUUUAAUGAUUUUGCAAAACCCCUUCUCUAGUACCAAUUCUCUAUCCCUCAUUCUAAAAUCACGACAUUGAAAACAUAACAACUUUAUUUAGUCUUUUCUUUUUGUAGUUUACAAGCGUAUACCCCAUUGUUUUUUAUUGUUUUUAUUGGCUGCCUAACAGUAUCCUUGCUUAUGUUAUACAUUCUGAUAUGUUCAUCAGAUUAAGAGGUUUUUAAGCGGCAGAAUGUUACGGGUGGGAAUUGAGUACUUCCUCUAUACGUUUCACACUUCAUUUUCAAAUUCACUUUUUUGUUUCAGGAUUGACUAACUCAAUGAAGCACGGAAUAAAAUUAACGCCUGACUGUCGGAGAGCCCUGCCGUUUUAAAACAUCAAGCUGAAAAUUCAGUGGGAAUUGUCUGUACGGUGGUUCUUUUAAUAAGACGUGUAGUUGUCCUUGGCCGCAGAUACCAUAGAAAGCAAAUAAAGCACACAAUGUAACACGCUGCUUUCUCCCAGUAAAUAAUUCACCCCUCCUUUCCAGAUUCUCUCCCCAAGGCUACCAGCCACCAUUCAGAAUACAGUCUAUCCUGGAAGUGGCAUUCCCAUUGGUUACUUUGAAAUCUGGCUGUUUUCCUAUUGGCUGGCAGCAAUACCCCAAAUAUCCUGCAAAACACAGACUGCUGUCCUGCUCAGUACGCACACACUGCUGUCAGUAAGAAAUGGUAACAAUAACUGGCAGCUGUACUAGUUACAGUACAAAGAACGUAGUCAUGUGACUGACAGCCCCUCUGUUUCGCUUACUGUGAAAUAAUUAACCAGUUAUCUGCCAGAACACACCGUAGCACAGGAAAGAGGUUAAAAACAAUAAAAAAAAAACAUGAUGG